rnacentral:rRNA from 1 species
AUGAACGCUAGCGGCAGGCUUAAUACAUGCAAGUCGAGGGGCAGCACGGUUAGCAAUAACUGGUGGCGACCGGCGCACGGGUGCGUAACACGUAUACAAUCUACCUUAAACAGGGGGAUAGCCUUUCGAAAGAGAGAUUAAUACCCCGUAAUAAAUUGAAUGGCAUCAUUUGAUUUUGAAAGCUCCGGCGGUUUGAGAUGAGUAUGCGUCUGAUUAGCUAGUUGGUGAGGUAACGGCUCACCAAGGCAACGAUCAGUAGGGGAUCUGAGAGGACUAACCCCCACACUGGUACUGAGACACGGACCAGACUCCUACGGGAGGCAGCAGUAAGGAAUAUUGGUCAAUGGGGGCAACCCUGAACCAGCCAUGCCGCGUGCAGGAUGAAGGCCCUAUGGGUCGUAAACUGCUUUUAUACAAGAGAAAACCCGAGUACGUGUACUCGGUUGAUAGUAUUGUAAGAAUAAGCAUCGGCUAACUUCGUGCCAGCAGCCGCGGUAAGACGAAGGAUGCAAGCGUUAUCCGGAUUCAUUGGGUUUAAAGGGUGCGUAGGCGGACCUGUAAGUCAGUGGUGAAAUCUCUUUGCUUAACAAAGAAACUGCCAUUGAUACUGCAAGUCUAGAGUAUAGAUGACGUUGGCGGAAUAUGACAUGUAGUGGUGAAAUACUUAGAUAUGUCAUAGAACACCGAUUGCGAAGGCAGCUAACGAAACUAUAACUGACGCUGAGGCACGAAAGUGCGGGGAUCAAACAGGAUUAGAUACCCUGGUAGUCCGCACCGUAAACGAUGAUUACUCGUUGUUGGCAAUAUGAC